GAUGAACGCUGGCGGCGUGCCUAAUACAUGCAAGUCGAGCGAACGGACGAGAAGCUUGCUUCUCUGAUGUUAGCGGCGGACGGGUGAGUAACACGUGGAUAACCUACCUAUAAGACUGGGAUAACUUCGGGAAACCGGAGCUAAUACCGGAUAAUAUUUUGAACCGCAUGGUUCAAAAGUGAAAGACGGUCUUGCCGUCACUUAUAGAUGGAUCCGCGCUGCAUUAGCUAGUUGGUAAGGUAACGGCUUACCAAGGCAACGAUGCAUAGCCGACCUGAGAGGGUGAUCGGCCACACUGGAACUGAGACACGGUCCAGACUCCUACGGGAGGCAGCAGUAGGGAAUCUUCCGCAAUGGGCGAAAGCCUGACGGAGCAACGCCGCGUGAGUGAUGAAGGUCUUCGGAUCGUAAAACUCUGUUAUUAGGGAAGAACAUAUGUGUAAGUAACUGUGCACAUCUUGACGGUACCUAACCAGAAAGCCACGGCUAACUACGUG
rnacentral:rRNA from 1 species